UGAGUCCGUGCGGACGUGCGGCU
rnacentral:piRNA from 1 species